GGUGGCCUAGUGGUUUGAGCGUCCGCCUUGGAUGCGGGAUGUCAUGGGUUCGAAUUCCGACAGUCA